rnacentral:rRNA from 1 species
CUUUUGGAGCGGCCGAUGUCUGAUUAGCUAGUUGGUGAGGUAAUGGCUUACCAAGGCGACGAUCAGUAGUUGGUCUGAGAGGACGACCAGCCACACUGGGACUGAGACACGGCCCAGACUCCUACGGGAGGCAGCAGUGGGGAAUUUUGGACAAUGGGCGCAAGCCUGAUCCAGCCAUGCCGCGUGAGUGAAGAAGGCCUUCGGGUUGUAAAGCUCUUUCAGUCGAAAAGAAAAGAUUGUGACUAAUAAUCGCGAUUCAUGACGGUAUCGGCAGAAGAAGCACCGGCUAACUACGUGCCAGCAGCCGCGGUAAUACGUAGGGUGCAAGCGUUAAUCGGAAUUACUGGGCGUAAAGGGUGCGCAGGCGGUUCUGUAAGUCAGAUGUGAAAUCCCCGGGCUUAACCUGGGAAUUGCGUUUGAAACUACAAAGCUAGAA